rnacentral:lncRNA from 1 species
ACAGUCCCACUUCACCUGGAUAUAGCCCGACUUCUCCCGGUUAUAGUCCCACUUCACCAACCUACAGCCCCAGUUCUCCUGGCUAUAGCCCAACAAGCCCUGCUUAUUCUCCUACAAGUCCUUCCUAUUCUCCCACCUCUCCUAGCUACAGCCCAACAUCUCCAAGCUAUAGCCCAACGUCCCCGAGCUACAGCCCGACAUCACCGAGCUACAGCCCCACUUCUCCGAGUUACAGCCCGACAUCGCCUGCUUAUAGCCCGACCUCGCCCGCGUAUAGCCCGACUUCACCUGCAUACAGCCCGACCUCUCCUUCUUACAGCCCAACAUCACCAUCUUACAGCCCAACAUCACCUUCUUACAGUCCUACUUCACCCUCCUACAGUCCCACUUCACCUUCUUACAGUCCUACUUCACCCGCAUACAGCCCUACGUCUCCUGGCUACAGCCCAACUUCACCAAGCUACAGCCCAACAUCACCUAGUUACGGUCCUACGUCUCCAAGCUACAACCCUCAGUCUGCUAAAUACAGCCCAUCUCUGGCUUACUCUCCUAGCAAUGCAAGACUAUCGCCAGCUAGCCCCUACAGUCCUACAUCUCCA